rnacentral:lncRNA from 1 species
AUGGACUGGGAGGGACCCCCCCAGCUCUGUGUGCCCCCAAUACCCCAUGGACCUCCCCAAAUAUCCCCAAAUUCCCCCCCAGAUCCCCCCAUAACCCCUCGAAUUCGCCCCCAAAUUCCCCCAGACCUCCCCAAAUUCCCCCAAAUCCCCCCCAAAUUCCCCCAAAUCCCCCCCAAAUCCCCCCAAAUUCCCCCAAAUCCCCCCCAAAUUCCCCCAAAUCCCCCAAGACCUCCCCAAAUUCCCCCAGAUCCCCCUCGAAUUCCCCCCCAAAUUCCCCCAAAUUCCCCCAGACCUCCCCAAAUUCCCCCAAAUCCCCGCAGACUUCCCCAGAUCCCCCUCGAAUUCGCCCCCAAAUUCCCCCAAAUCCCCCCCGGCCUCCCCAAAUUCCCCCAAAUUCCCCCAGACCUCCCCAAAUUCCCCAUAACCCCUCGAAUUUGCCCCCAAAUUCCCCCAAAUCCCCCCAGAUCCCCCUCGAAUUCCCCCCCAAAUCCCCCCAGACCUCCCCAAAUUCCACCAAAUCCCCCCAAAAUUCCCCCAAAUCCCCCCCAGACCUCCCCAGAUCCCCCUCGAAUUCGCCCCCAAAUUCCCCCAAAUCCCCCCCGCCCUCCCCAAAUUCCCCCAAAUCCCCCCAGACCUCCCCAAAUUCCCCCAAAUCCCCCCCGGCCUCCCCAAAUUCCCCCCAAAUCCCCCCAGACCUCCCCAAAUUCCCCCAUAACCCCUCGAAUUCCCCCCCAAAUUCCCCGAAAUUCCCCCAGACCUCCCCAAAUUCCCCCAAAUCCCCGCAGACUUCCCCAGACCUCCCCAAAUUCCCCCAAAUCCCCCCCGGCCUCCCCAAAUUCCCCCAAAUCCCCCCAGACCUCCCCAGAUCCUCCCAUAACCCCUCGAAUUCGCCCCCAAAUUCCCUCAAAUCCCCCCAGACCUCCCCAAAUUCACCCAAAUCCCCCCCAAAUUCCCCCAAAUCCCCCCAGACCUCCCCAAAUUCCCCCAAAUCCCUCCAGACCUCCCCAAAUUCACCCAAAUCCCUCCAGACCUCCCCAAAUUCCCCCAAAUCCCCCCAGAUCCCCCUCGAAUUCUCCCCCAAAUCCCCCCAGACCUCCCCAAAUUCCCCCAAAUCCCUCCAGACCUCCCCAAAUUCACCCAAAUCCCUCCAGACCUCCCCAAAUUCCCCCAAAUCCCCCCAGAUCCCCCUCGAAUUCCCCCCCAAAUCCCCCCAGACCUCUCCAAAUUCCCCCAAAUCCUCCCAGACCUCCCCAGAUCCCCCUCGAAUUCGCCCCCAAAUCCCCCCAAAUCCCCCCAGACCUCCCCAAAUUCACCCAAAUCCCCCCCAAAUCCCCCCAAUCCCCCCCAGACCUCCCCAAAUUCCACCAAAUCCCCCCAAAAUUCCCCCAAAUCCCCCCCAGACCUCCCCAGAUCCCCCUCGAACUCCCCAAAUUCCCCCAAAUCCCCCCAGAUCCCCCUCGAAUUCCCUCCCAAAUCCCCCCCGGCCUCCCCAAAUUCCCCCAAAUCCCCCCAGACCUCCCAAAUCCCCCCCAAAUCCCCCCCAUAUCCUCCCCAGAACCCCACGUCCCCCCCCCCCCCCGUGUCCCCCAUUACCACCCCCAGACCCCCCAAAUCCCCCUCGGACCCCCUCAAAUCCCUCCCAUGACCCCUCAGACUCCCCCAGACCCCAAAUAUCCUCCCAGACCCCCCCCCCAUCCCUCCCAGUUCCCACACACGGGGGUCCCAGGCACCCCUGGACCUGAGUUUGGGGGUCCUGGGCCACCCCAAAACCCAGCACCGAGGUCCCUGGUACCCCAAUUCCCACAUGCGGGGGUCCCUGGCACCCCCCGCCCCCAAAUUUGGGGGUCCCUGGCACCCCCCACCCCCAAAUUUGGGGGUCCCUGGCACCCACCCCCAUGA